rnacentral:rRNA from 1 species
AUUGAACGCUGGCGGCAUGCCUUACACAUGCAAGUCGAACGGCAGCACGGGUGCUUGCCCCUGGUGGCGAGUGGCGAACGGGUGAGUAAUACAUCGGAACAUGUCCUGUAGUGGGGGAUAGCCCGGCGAAAGCCGGAUUAAUACCGCAUACGAUCCACGGAUGAAAGCGGGGGACCUUCGGGCCUCGCGCUAUAGGGUUGGCCGAUGGCUGAUUAGCUAGUUGGUGGGGUAAAGGCCUACCAAGGGGACGAUCAGUAGCUGGUCUGAGAGGACGACCAGCCACACUGGGACUGAGACACGGCCCAGACUCCUACGGGAGGCAGCAGUGGGGAAUUUUGGACAAUGGGCGAAAGCCUGAUCCAGCAAUGCCGCGUGUGUGAAGAAGGCCUUCGGGUUGUAAAGCACUUUUGUCCGGAAAGAAAUCCUUGACUCUAAUACAGUCGGGGGAUGACGGUACCGGAAGAAUAAGCACCGGCUAACUACGUG